AACAACACCAAGUACCCGCUCGUCGUUAAAGGCACGACGGACAAGAACGGCUACUUCUUCAUCUCAGCUCCCAAGACCAUCACCACUUUCGGUGCACACAAAUGCAAGGCCUUCCUUGUCUCCGCUCCCACCACCGCGUGUUCCAAGAUCAGCGACUUCCACGGCGGUCUCACCGGCGCCGUUCUAAGGCCAACAAAGCCAUUCGUGUCCGAGAAGAAGCUCCCCUUCCUUCUCUACACCGUCGGUCCUUUCGCCUUCGAG
rnacentral:lncRNA from 1 species